GUGAAUCAUCAAAUCUUUGAACGCAAAUUGCGCCUUUUUCGAAAGCCAUGUCUGUUUGAGGGCACCAUUUAACAAAUAAUGUGCCGCGUGUUUUGUUUCUCACGUUGAUGAGCUUUCCAAGAAUUUUAAAUUUUUGGUGGCGCAUAAUGAACAGCUUGAAGGUUUUUUUCAGUUCUAUUGUAGUAACAUCUUUGCUUUGGUUUUGAAAAAACAUAGUCGCGCAAUUGGUGGGGCGAUUUCGUUUUAUCCUU
rnacentral:misc_RNA from 1 species